rnacentral:lncRNA from 1 species
AAAACGAACAUAUAAAGAUCAUCAGAAGGAACAUGAGAAGCUUAGAAGACUAUAUAGUAGAAGAUCUAAAGAAAGGUCAACCAGAAGCCAACGUCCUUAGAAGAAGGAUGCCUCACAGAAGCUGACUGACAUACUUGGACGAUCCUCAGAUUUGAGAAAAUCCUAAAACCCAAAAUUCACGUAGGCUUUGUCUUAUUAUGUGAACUAUCCCUAUAUCAUAGUAUCUGAUAGAGUAGUUUGUUUGUCUUCUUUUGUCUACGUGUGCAAACAAACAAAGAACCUCAAGAACAAAGAGAAUGCAACGGAUAAUUCUUCUUUCAGCAAAAGAAAUUCAAAGAACUUUUCAACGGAAAUAUCUAUAUCAUACAAAGGGCCAACGUUCUUGAUUGAAGCUUCUCAACAACUCUAUUUACACUGACACUCUUCUCCAACGUCUCUCAAAUGACUGCCUAUAUAAGGAGUUGAAGACCUGAAGCAGAAGUAACAAGACUUUGCAAUUUUACUAUGCCAUUACUCUAUCAAAUCAAAUAACACAAAACACUUAUGAUUUUCUUACUCAAGUUUAUAUCUUAGACAUCCUAAGUAGUCUGUUCAUUUGUUAAGUUUACAUUACCAUUGUUAAAUCCAG